GAUGAACGCUGGCGGCGUGCCUAAUACAUGCAAGUCGAGCGAACAGACGAGAGUGCUUGCACUCUCUGACGUUAGCGGCGGACGGGUGAGUAACACGUGGGUAACCUACCUAUAAGACUGGGAUAACUUCGGGAAACCGGAGCUAAUACCGGAUAAUAUUUAGCUUCGCAUGAAGCAAUAGUGAAAGACGGUUCUGCUGUCACUUAUAGAUGGACCCGCGGUGUAUUAGCUAGUUGGUGAGGUAACGGCUCACCAAGGCAACGAUACAUAGCCGACCUGAGAGGGUGAUCGGCCACACUGGGACUGAGACACGGCCCAGACUCCUACAGGAGGCAGCAGUAGGGAAUCUUCCGCAAUGGACGAAAGUCUGACGGAGCAAUGCCGCGUGAGUGAAGAAGGUUUUCGGAUCGUAAAACUCUGUUGUAAGGGAAGAACAAGUACGUUAGUAACUGAACGUACCUUGACGGUACCUUACCAGAAAGCCACGGCUAACUACGUG
rnacentral:rRNA from 1 species